UAGCGGAGGAAAAGAAACCAACCGGGAUUGCCUUAGUAACGGCGAGUGAAGCGGCAAAAGCUCAAAUUUGAAAUCUGGUACCUUCGGUGCCCGAGUUGUAAUUUGGAGAGGGCAACUUUGGGGCCGUUCCUUGUCUAUGUUCCUUGGAACAGGACGUCAUAGAGGGUGAGAAUCCCGUGUGGCGAGGAGUGCGGUUCUUUGUAAAGUGCCUUCGAAGAGUCGAGUUGUUUGGGAAUGCAGCUCUAAGUGGGUGGUAAAUUCCAUCUAAAGCUAAAUAUUGGCGAGAGACCGAUAGCGAACAAGUACAGUGAUGGAAAGAUGAAAAGAACUUUGAAAAGAGAGUGAAAAAGUACGUGAAAUUGUUGAAAGGGAAGGGCAUUUGAUCAGACAUGGUGUUUUGUGCCCUCUGCUCCUUGUGGGUAGGGGAAUCUCGCAUUUCACUGGGCCAGCAUCAGUUUUGGUGGCAGGAUAAAUCCAUAGGAAUGUAGCUUGCCUCGGUAAGUAUUAUAGCCUGUGGGAAUACUGCCAGCUGGGACUGAGGACUGCGACGUAAGUCAAGGAUGCUGGCAUAAUGGUUAUAUGCCGCCCGUCUG
rnacentral:rRNA from 1 species